rnacentral:rRNA from 1 species
AUGGAGGCGCUGAGCGGGCGGGUGGGAGUGAAGUGCGGGCGGUGGAACCCGACGGCGGAGCAGGUGAAGGUGCUGACGGAGCUGUUCCGGGCGGGGCUGCGGACGCCGAGCACGGAGCAGAUCCAGCGGAUCUCCACCCACCUCAGCGCCUUCGGCAAGGUGGAGAGCAAGAACGUCUUCUACUGGUUCCAGAACCACAAGGCCCGCGAGCGCCACCACCACAAGAAGCGCCGCCGCGUCGCCUCCUGCUCCCCCGACAGCAGCAGCAACGAGGAAGAGACCGGCCGUGCUGCUGGCCGCGACGCCGAGCCCGCCGACCUCGUGCUCCAGCCACCCGAGAGCAAGCGUGAGGCCAGAGGCUACAACCACCACCCCCGGAUCAUGACAUGCUAUGUGAGGGAGGUGGCGGAGCAGGAGGAGGCGACGACGUGGGAGCGGCCGACGAGGGAGGUGGAGACGCUGGAGCUGUUCCCGCUCAAAGCAGCCUGCUACGACCUGGAGCUGGAGGCGGACAGGUUCAGCCGAUACGUGAGGGGCGGCGAGCAGCAGUGCAGGGAGAUCUCCUUCUUCGACGUGGCCACCGGACGGGAUCCGCCCCUGGAGCUCAGGCUCUGCAGCUUCGAUCGGUAUCUGGUCUAG